GUGUGACUGCGUACCUUUUGUAUAAUGGGUCAGCGACUUAUAUUCUGUAGCAAGGUUAACCGAAUAGGGGAGCCGAAGGGAAACCGAGUCUUAACUGGGCGUUAAGUUGCAGGGUAUAGACCCGAAACCCGGUGAUCUAGCCAUGGGCAGGUUGAAGGUUGGGUAACACUAACUGGAGGACCGAACCGACUAAUGUUGAAAAAUUAGCGGAUGACUUGUGGCUGGGGGUGAAAGGCCAAUCAAACCGGGAGAUAGCUGGUUCUCCCCGAAAGCUAUUUAGGUAGCGCCUCGUGAAUUCAUCUCCGGGGGUAGAGCACUGUUUCGGCAAGGGGGUCAUCCCGACUUACCAACCCGAUGCAAACUGCGAAUACCGGAGAAUGUUAUCACGGGAGACACACGGCGGGUGCUAACGUCCGUCGUGAAGAGGGAAACAACCCAGACCGCCAGCUAAGGUCCCAAAGUCAUGGUUAAGUGGGAAACGAUGUGGGAAGGCCCAGACAGCCAGGAUGUUGGCUUAGAAGCAGCCAUCAUUUAAAGAAAGCGUAAUAGCUCACUGGUCGAGUCGGCCUGCGCGGAAGAUGUAACGGGGCUAAACCAUGCACCGAAGCUGCGGCAGCGACGCUGAUGCGUUGUUGGGUAGGGGAGCGUUCUGUAAGCCUGUGAAGGUGUGCUGUGAGGCAUGCUGGAGGUAUCAGAAGUGCGAAUGCUGACAUAAGUAACGAUAAAGCGGGUGAAAAGCCCGCUCGCCGGAAGACCAAGGGUUCCUGUCCAACGUUAAUCGGGGCAGGGUGAGUCGACCCCUAAGGCGAGGCCGAAAGGCGUAGUCGAUGGGAAACAGGUUAAUAUUCCUGUACUUGGUGUUACUGCGAAGGGGGGACGGAGAAGGCUAUGUUGGCCGGGCGACGGUUGUCCCGGUUUAAGCGUGUAGGCUGGUUUUCCAGGCAAAUCCGGAAAAUCAAGGCUGAGGCGUGAUGACGAGGCACUACGGUGCUGAAGCAACAAAUGCCCUGCUUCCAGGAAAAGCCUCUAAGCAUCAGGUAACAUCAAAUCGUACCCCAAACCGACACAGGUGGUCAGGUAGAGAAUACCAAGGCGCUUGAGAGAACUCGGGUGAAGGAACUAGGCAAAAUGGUGCCGUAACUUCGGGAGAAGGCACGCUGAUAUGUAGGUGAAGUCCCUCGCGGAUGGAGCUGAAAUCAGUCGAAGAUACCAGCUGGCUGCAACUGUUUAUUAAAAACACAGCACUGUGCAAACACGAAAGUGGACGUAUACGGUGUGACGCCUGCCCGGUGCCGGAAGGUUAAUUGAUGGGGUUAGCGCAAGCGAAGCUCUUGAUCGAAGCCCCGGUAAACGGCGGCCGUAACUAUAACGGUCCUAAGGUAGCGAAAUUCCUUGUCGGGUAAGUUCCGACCUGCACGAAUGGCGUAAUGAUGGCCAGGCUGUCUCCACCCGAGACUCAGUGAAAUUGAACUCGCUGUGAAGAUGCAGUGUACCCGCGGCAAGACGGAAAGACCCCGUGAACCUUUACUAUAGCUUGACACUGAACAUUGAGCCUUGAUGUGUAGGAUAGGUGGGAGGCUUUGAAGUGUGGACGCCAGUCUGCAUGGAGCCGACCUUGAAAUACCACCCUUUAAUGUUUGAUGUUCUAACGUUGACCCGUAAUCCGGGUUGCGGACAGUGUCUGGUGGGUAGUUUGACUGGGGCGGUCUCCUCCUAAAGAGUAACGGAGGAGCACGAAGGUUGGCUAAUCCUGGUCGGACAUCAGGAGGUUAGUGCAAUGGCAUAAGCCAGCUUGACUGCGAGCGUGACGGCGCGAGCAGGUGCGAAAGCAGGUCAUAGUGAUCCGGUGGUUCUGAAUGGAAGGGCCAUCGCUCAACGGAUAAAAGGUACUCCGGGGAUAACAGGCUGAUACCGCCCAAGAGUUCAUAUCGACGGCGGUGUUUGGCACCUCGAUGUCGGCUCAUCACAUCCUGGGGCUGAAGUAGGUCCCAAGGGUAUGGCUGUUCGCCAUUUAAAGUGGUACGCGAGCUGGGUUUAGAACGUCGUGAGACAGUUCGGUCCCUAUCUGCCGUGGGCGCUGGAGAACUGAGGGGGGCUGCUCCUAGUACGAGAGGACCGGAGUGGACGCAUCACUGGUGUUCGGGUUGUCAUGCCAAUGGCACUGCCCGGUAGCUAAAUGCGGAAGAGAUAAGUGCUGAAAGCAUCUAAGCACGAAACUUGCCCCGAGAUGAGUUCUCCCUGACUCCUUGAGAGUCCUGAAGGAACGUUGAAGACGACGACGUUGAUAGGCCGGGUGUGUAAGCGCAGCGAUGCGUUGAGCUAACCGGUACUAAUGAACCGUGAGGCUUAACCUU
rnacentral:rRNA from 1 species